UAUAGUACAGGAAAUAGACAUCGGAGCAGCUCCUAUGUUCCAUUGAAGGACGAAGGCAAUUCAAUUCUGAAUGAUAAGAAAAAUACCAAGAUUCAGCUUGGGAUAAAAAAGAUUUGGUCUCACCCACUUGAGACUGUAUGAACUAUUAUGGUGGCGUGGACUGUGGAUCUUAACUGACCUGAACACAGCCUGGAACACAUCAGGCCACUGAUAUUUCCUGCUAAGAGGCGCAAGGUUGUCACUAUGAAGAAGAGGAAGGAAAGGGUGUCCUGAAUCAACCCUUCCUUCAGUGAUGGGUAUCACUGCAGAAGAAAGCACUGCACUGAUACCUGCUGCUUCAGAAAGUAAAGCACAAAAGGAUCUUACUCCUGUUGGAAGAGAUGCUUUGUCACGAAUUAGAGGUCGAGAUUUUGACUCAGCAUGUGGUCUUGCUGAGGAUACUGGGGCCUUGGUUGUAUGGCAAGCACCACCCAUCUGUUCAUGUAAUUUCUUUUGUAUUAUCUUGGGCUGACAGUAGUACUUUCUAUGAUUGAAGAAAUGGAUUCCUGUUAAGGAGAAAUUGGUUGUCCUCAAGAAAAAUGUGGAACCUUAUGUACAGAAGGUAUCGACAAGAUCAGUGAAGUUUUAUGAACGGAGGGAGGAUUUUCUAUCUCCGCUGUUUAGCCUGGAGUCAAAGGAGGCAGAAGGAGAUGAAGACGAGUGAGAUUGAGAGGAUCAAGGAAAU